AAAUGCGAAAAAUGUAUUACAAAAUGCGUUCAAGAAUGUUAUCACAAAAUGCGGCGUUAUUACAUAAUAAUGUGAAAAUAUAUAACAUUAUUACAUAUUGCACCAUUAUGACAUAACACACUACAGGGUUACUUACUGGAAUGUCUUGCUUUAUUAAUGGCGUUGGGACCAUGGGGUUGUAUUGUGUGUGUCCAAACUUUUGGCCUAUACUGUACAGAAUAUGUAAUUUUUGUAGUUUUUUGUAGUUUUUUUUAUAGAACUUGUGGAAUGGUACACAGCAAAUUGAGGAGUGUUUUUUGGUGUUGAUGAGAAUCUUGAAGUUGGAGUGUCACUCUUACACUAUUUGGAGUUGAUCUAACACUGCAUUUUCUUAUAAAAUGUUAAAUUUAACGCUGGAUCAUGAAAGUGUUGUAGUUAAAAUGGAGUGUUGAAAAUGUUCAAAUCUUGUUAGUGUCACAAUAAAGACAUUCAACACUUCCACACUCCAUUUAACGCCUAACAGUGUUCACGUGUCUUAAGCUCCGCCCACGGACAUUUCAUUUAGACUCCACCCCUCACUUCACGUUGCUGAUGGAAGAAGUUGACAAUUAGGAAUCAUUUUGCAUCAGUAGUGUUGCUGUGAGCUGAAUAGGCACUGCCUGUGCAACAUUUGGCAAAGUAAGUGAACGCUACGUUAUAUCUUCAUUUUUAAUGAGCUAAUGGCUAACUAGCUAAUUAGCUAAUUGGCACGAGGAGCCCCCACAGUAGGCCUGCUGGCCCACAGCAAAGGACUUGAUAUGCUGUACAGGAUACAAGAUAUCAAGAAAACCUUUCCUUGAGUCUUACAUGAAUGUGAGGUGGAUGGAGAUGUCUUUGAUGAGCUCGUCAAGUCAGGUGUUUUGACUUUCAAGGUCCUUUUAUCAGUGACAGAGUAAGAGAUUCAUUUGACUGGAGAUGAAGCAGACUUCACUAUCCCCAGCUUCACCCCAGUUAUCGCCAGUUGGUGGCAAUAACAGGUUCGACAAUUCAUCCUUCAGCCCACAAGAAAGAGGAACCCAACAGAACCAAUAGAUCAGGAUGAAUCAAGACAGAAAGUCAGUGGUGUUUUGAGGGCCAAUCCGAAAGAUACGAUGGAGCUGCACGGGUCACUUCCCCCUUCCCAUUAGAACAGUCAUUCCAGACUGUCAUCAACUGCAGUAAGACCAUGUACUGUGGGAAUGGUUCUAUCUGUGAUCAUUAACGAUGACGUGUUUGGAAAGGAGGGUUCCACCAUCAUGUGUGAUGACAAAUUACACCCGGAGAAUUGUGACUUGUUUUCCAUACGUCAAAGAUCCAUUCUCCAAACCUAGAUAUGUAAGUGUCUUUUCAAUGUAAAACCCAAAGUACUGUUUUUGUUUUUCCUUUAGGUGUGUAGUUUGUAUUAAACUCUUGUUUCAAAUAUGUUCAUAGUUAGCUUAGCUUAGCGGCAGUGGCUCGGGAGGUAGAGCAGGUCGUCCAGAAAUCGUAAGGUUGGUUGGAUCCUUGCUCCCUCCACCCAGUCACUGUUGUGUCCUACACUUCUCCUGGCUCUCAAAGUUGUUCCAAGACUGUUUCUUCAGGAUGGUCCAAAAACCAGAGGAGAACAUCUGUUAACUGGUCAACAGCUGCUUGGUGAGGAGUGCAGGGAGGCACUAUCUACAAUAAGACAUUCAACUGAUGAAUCCGUGGUCAAAGAAGAUGAGAGCAACUUUCCAGUAUCGACAGAAUAUGAUCCAAGCACAAGAUGUAUCAUCGCCUGUCCUCAGUGUGUUCCCUCGCUUCCUUGAUGUUCCUGGAUUGAUUGACCAGGAUUUCUCAAUGAUGUUUGCUGAUGAAGUAUCUCAGAGGUUCCUGGCUAAGUGGUCAACUGUCUUCAAAGCAAAAGUCAUUGCAGACUGCAAGACUCUCCCGCAAAAGCGAUGAGUUGCUGUCAGGAACUGAACCUCAACCUGAUGACAGCUGUGGCUGGGGCAGUGAUACAUCCUCCAUCCUUCUACUCCUGCAUCUGCUCCCUCCCACUUCUAGAGGCCAGGAAAAAAAACAGCAAAGAUCAGUUUGGCUCAAGCAGCCAACCAUCUUCUCAGACAUCUUAAGGAAGGAGCCAGUGUGACCCCCUUCCAAGACUGUUGACACAAGACAACCAUUUCUCCUCUGCAUCAGUGAGCGAAGGUGACAUCCAGAGGUUCUACAUUAUUAUUGACCAAAAGCCGGUUCCAUGCAAGGCACAUACAUUUAUUGCAGCUUUUGAUGAACUGUUCAAAGCUCACUAUGUCUUCAGUCUCUCGUAUGGUUAAAAGUGGAUAAGAGCAAACAUUUGGGUCUGAAUGCUGCCCAGUCAUGGUGUCUUCUAUGUAGCACUCCACUUAUAUUUGGUGAUGUCAUUGAAAGGAAUAAUGAUCACUGGAACUUGCUCCUCCUUUUGAUGCAGAUUGUCAACAUAGUGUUCUCCUACAGCAUAACUGAUGGAAUGAUCCUUUACUUGAAACAUCUGAUGAGUGACCACCACACUUGGUACAAAGCAUUGCUACCUGGUAAGAAGUUGAUUCCCAAGCACCGCUUGAUGAUACACUAUCCAAGAUGCAUACAAAACAUUGGCCCUCUUAUCCAUACGUGGUGCAUGUGUUUUGAAGCCAAACACAAUUUUUUCAAAAGGCGUGGUUAAAAUUUUUAAAAAUCUCAGUCGUUUGUCGUGGCCUUCACUAUGAAAAUAAUUAUUUUAGAAGAUUUGCAUUUGGCCCUACAACAUCAAAAACAAUCUGCAACUUGAAAGGAGGGGAGGAACGUGGUCAGGUAUGUCUGCAAGCAUCUUCCAAGUGUGUCAAGUACCAACUGGGUGAGAAGUUACGGUAUAGAGCACCACGUUGGUGUGUUCAUAUGUACUGGAUGUAGCUUUGAUCUACCUGUGUUCAAGAAGAUCUGUGAUAUAAUAAAGCACAAAGAAUGUGCUUUCAUAAUAGCUGUAAUGUAGAAACUAUGUACUAUGAGGACCUGUUUAACGCGUACUGCAUAGAAGACCAAAUGCUUGAGUUUUCUGUCAUGUUUAAAUGAACUGACUCAUUUCAGACCAUUUGACAAGCAGUGCUCUAAUGACAGUUGUCAAAGAGCAUACAUACUGUAGUGCCUGCUGUUAUUUAAGCUACUGUCUGUUGGAAAUGAAAUGUUUUUGAAUAAAAUGUAUGAAGCCGUCAA